GAUGAACGCUAGCGGCAGGCUUAAUACAUGCAAGUCGAGGGGCAGCAGGACUGUAGCAAUACAGUUGCUGGCGACCGGCAAACGGGUGCGGAACACGUACGCAACCUUCCUUUAAGUGGGGAAUAGCCCAGGGAAACUUGGAUUAAUACCUCGUAACAUUAUGAGAUGGCAUCAUCUUAUAAUUAUAGCUCCGGCGCUUAAAGAUGGGCGUGCGCCUGAUUAGGUAGUUGGCGGGGUAACGGCCCACCAAGCCUUCGAUCAGUAACUGGUGUGAGAGCACGACCAGUCAAACGGGCACUGAGACACGGGCCCGACUCCUACGGGAGGCAGCAGUAAGGAAUAUUGGUCAAUGGACGCAAGUCUGAACCAGCCAUGCCGCGUGGAGGAUGAAGGUCCUCUGGACUGUAAACUUCUUUUAUCUGGGAAGAAACCCAUAUUUUCUAGUGUGGUUGACGGUACCAGAUGAAUAAGCACCGGCUAACUCCGUGCCAGCCGCCGCAGUAAGAC
rnacentral:rRNA from 1 species